UAAGACGAGGGUGGCUAGCGUUGUUCGGUGUCACUGGGCUUAAAGAGUGUGUAGGCGGAAAAGUAAGCGUCUUGUGAAAGCCCCCGGCUUAACCGGGGAACUGCUUGACGAACUGCUUUUCUUGAGGCAAGUAGGGGUGCACGGAACUCUUGGUGGAGCGGUGGAAUGCGUAGAUAUCAAGAGGAACGCCGAUGGAGAAAUCAGUGCACUGGGCUUGUCCUGACGCUGAGACACGAAAGCGUGGGGAGCGAACGGGAUUAGAUACCCCGGUAGUCCACGCCGUAAACGAUGUCUACUAGGUUGCGGUAGUUCUGACACUAGCGCGACCGAAGCAAAAGUGUUAAGUAGACCGCCUGGGGAGUACGGUCGCAAGGCUA
rnacentral:rRNA from 1 species